rnacentral:rRNA from 1 species
GACGAACGCUGGCGGCGUGCUUAACACAUGCAAGUCGAACGGAAAGGCCUGCUUUCCCUUGUGGAUUGCGGGUACUCGAGUGGCGAACGGGUGAGUAACACGUGAGUGAUCUGCCCCCAACUUGGGUAUAAACCUGGGAAACUGGGUCUAAUUCCCGAUAGGACUGCAGGGUGGUGCCUGUGGUGGAAAACGAUUUUCUAGUGGUUGGGGAUGAGCUCGCGGCCUAUCAGCUUGUUGGUGGGGUAAUGGCCUACCAAGGCGGCGACGGGUAGCCGGCCUGAGAGGGUGGACGGCCACAUUGAGACUGAGAUACGGCCCAGACUCCUACGGGAGGCAGCAGUGGGGAAUAUUGCACAAUGGGCGGAAGCCUGAUGCAGCGACGCCGCGUGGGGGAUGACGGCCUUCGGGUUGUAAACUCCUUUCGACCGCGAGGAAGCCACCUGGUUGGAAGGGUGGUGACGGUAGUGGUAGAAGAAGCACCGGCUAACUACGUG